AUUGAACGCUGGCGGCAUGCCUUACACAUGCAAGUCGAACGGUAACAGGUCUUCGGAUGCUGACGAGUGGCGAACGGGUGAGUAAUACAUCGGAACGUGCCUAGUAGUGGGGGAUAACUACUCGAAAGAGUGGCUAAUACCGCAUGAGAUCUACGGAUGAAAGCAGGGGAUCGCAAGACCUUGUGCUACUAGAGCGGCCGAUGGCAGAUUAGGUAGUUGGUGGGAUAAAAGCUUACCAAGCCGACGAUCUGUAGCUGGUCUGAGAGGACGAUCAGCCACACUGGGACUGAGACACGGCCCAGACUCCUACGGGAGGCAGCAGUGGGGAAUUUUGGAAAAUGGGCGAAAGCCUGAUCCAGCAAUGCCGCGUGCAGGAUGAAGGCCUUCGGGUUGUAAACUGCUUUUGUACGGAACGAAAAGCCCCGGGUUAAUACCCUGGGGUCAUGACGGUACCGUAAGAACAAGCACCGGCUAACUACGUGCCAGCCGCCGCAGUAA
rnacentral:rRNA from 1 species